GUAGGCAAAUCCGCAGACCUAGUCGAACCUGAUAGUACCACAAAGCUUCGGCUGCGUGGAUAGUGUUCCUAAGCGCUUCCAAGAAAAACCUCUAAGCUUCAGGUUAUACCAACUCGUACCGCAAACCAACACAGGUAGUCAAGUAGAGAAUACUGAGGUGCUCGAGUGAUUCAUGGCUAAGGAACUAGGCAAAAUGGUCUCGUAACUUCGGGAGAAGAGACGCCAACUUCGGUUGGCCGCAGUGAAUAGGCCCAGGCGACUGUUUAUCAAAAACACAGGGCUCUGCUAAAUCGAAAGAUGAUGUAUAGGGCCUGACACCUGCCCGGUGCUGGAAGGUUAAG
rnacentral:rRNA from 1 species